rnacentral:rRNA from 1 species
GGGGGGGGCCCCCGUGGGCCACCCCC